rnacentral:rRNA from 1 species
AGAGUUUGAUCCUGGCUCAGAAUCAACGCUGGCGGCGUGCCUAACACAUGCAAGUCGAACGAGAAAGUGGAGCAAUCCAUGAGUAAAGUGGCGCACGGGUGAGUAACACGUGACUAACCUACCCUUGAGUGGGGAAUAACCUAGGGAAACCUGGGCUAAUACCGCAUAACACCUACGGGUCAAAGGAGCAAUUCGCUUAAGGAGGGGGUCGCGGCAGAUUAGCUAGUUGGCGGGGUAAUGGCCCACCAAGGCAGUGAUCUGUAUCCGGCCUGAGAGGGCGCACGGACACACUGGAACUGAAACACGGUCCAGACUCCUACGGGAGGCAGCAGUGGGGAAUUUUGCGCAAUGGGGGAAACCCUGACGCAGCAACGCCGCGUGGAGGAUGAAGUCCCUUGGGACGUAAACUCCUUUCGACCGGGAAGAUUAUGACGGUACCGGAAGAAGAAGCCCCGGCUAACUUCGUGCCAGCAGCCGCGGUAAUACGAGGGGGGCAAGCGUUGUUCGGAAUUAUUGGGCGUAAAGGGUGCGUAGGCGGUUCGGUAAGUCUCGUGUGAAAUCUUCGGGCUCAACUCGAAGUCUGCACGAGAAACUGCCGGGCUUGAGUGUGGGAGAGGUGAGUGGAAUUUCCGGUGUAGCGGUGAAAUGCGUAGAUAUCGGAAGGAACACCUGUGGCGAAAGCGGCUCACUGGACCACAACUGACGCUGAGGCACGAAAGCUAGGGGAGCAAACAGGAUUAGAUACCCUGGUAGUCCUAGCCCUAAACGAUGAUCGCUUGGUGUGACGGGUACCCAAUCCCGCCGUGCCGAAGCUAACGCGUUAAGCGAUCCGCCUGGGGAGUACGGUCGCAAGGCUGAAACUCAAAGGAAUGACG